CACACUCGGAUCAUUCAUCAGUUACAAGGCAUACCACUCAAAAGUUACACGUAUAGGAGAUGGCCUUGCCGGGGAUUCGAUUCGAUGCGGACUUUCACCUGGUUGGGAUCGCGGGAUCAAGAUAAGGCGACACAGCUGAGCUGGCUGUGCGAGAAGACCGCCGUCUGCAGAUCGAUUCCAACGUGAUCGAACGUCUGUCCGUGCGCCUCCGUCGUUCAUGCAGGGGGCGUGUAGGUGUACAUCGCCCCCUGUAUGAAAAUGACGAAAAGUGCAGCGUUCGUUACAGAUAGAUGAAGUUGUACGCUUAUUUAAAAGUAUAGCUAGUGGGUUUUCAAAGUGGGGUUUCAAAGUACCUUCGUCUUACAGAAAUCAAAUUCGCGCGUACCCACCCCAUUAAAACAAUGCUUAACUGAGCAGGGCGAGCCAUGGGGGGGGGGGGGGGGCACCUUAUCUAUGUCACGUGCCAUAGCUCACGUGACUUCUGCCGCGACAAUGUCUGGAAUUUUUUUGCCUGAGGACGACCGCUCGUGUUGCGAUCGAAACGUAAUUUUUUUAUUUUUUUCUUGUCUGCUGAUCUUGUUGAUAUCUGUGUACAACGAUACCUCACAUUGCUUACACAUACACACCACAGUGAAAUAAAUAGAAACUAGAACGACUUCCGGGGAUGGGCAAAGAUCGAGGAAUCUCUUUCAAUGGGGCGAGUUAAGUGUGUUCGAUUCAACAUCUCUCUAUCCGUCUGUGUAUCUGUUCGCCUCUGUGUGUCUCUCUCUGCCUGUGUCUGUCUUUGUCGUAUAUAUCUGUCUCUGUUCCUCUUGUCUGUGUCUGUCCGCCUGUCUUGUCUGUGUGUGUCUAUCAGCGUCUGUCCAACCGUAGUCAACGACUGUCAGUAGCAGCAGGCGCCUGGACAGAAUGUUGGGGCAAGUGCUGUUAGUGAGCACCUAACACAGACAAAGAUCCCCCGUAUAGCAUGGACAGACUGUAGGGGCAAGUGCUGUUAGUGGGCACCUAGGACAAAGAUCCCCCAUAUAGCCUGGACAGAAUGUUGGGGCAAGUGCUGUUAGCGAGCAUCUAUUAAGGGUGGGACGGCACACGAGGGGGUAGGUGGCCAGGACCACGCCUGGCGGCCUUUGUCUCCCUAUUGGCGAUGUUUACACACCGCACCGGGUACUCGUUUGAGGCUGAGUCGACGUAGGAGAGGUCGUUUCAUAAAAUCGUCACCGGUGUUGGCCACGAGCGGGAAUUGAACUCGGCUGGUGGGGUGCGGAGCGCAGCGCUCACCACGACACUGCCGCUCCCCUUCUGUCAACAAACUUGCACUCUGACCCCGCUCUCUGACGUCAUCACUCAGCAUGACGUCAUCGGCGUCAAACCUUAGGGGGGGUGUGCCUCGCUAGUGACGUUUUGUCACCAAGGUAUUCACCCGACCACCGGUCUCUUGAGCGUGACGUCACCUCCGCCCGGUGACUGGCGGCACAUUAACAUAAUGCAUUCGUAAACUCGCGAGUUUAUUCCGACGGGUUCGGCACCCACGCCACAUCCCUCGACAUGGGAUUUUUGCACAGCGUUGGUGUACGGUGCCUUUUUUCUGGAAAACUUUGCAGUUUUUCCUGGAUCUUUCUGUUUGUGCAUAGUCACUAUAAGAUGUUUUCUUGUUCAUGUUUUUUGUUUGUUGCGGUUGCACCCGAUUCAAGAGCCGAAUGGCUCACAGUGCUAUACCAAAUAAAUAAAAUUGAAAAAACUGA